AACGAACGCUGGCGGCGUGCUUAACACAUGCAAGUCGAACGCGAACGGGUUCUUCGGGACCUUAGUAGAGUGGCGCACGGGUGAGUAACGCGUAAGUUAUCUACCUCGGCAUCUGGAAUAACUCACCGAAAGGUGUGCUAAUACCGGAUACGGUGAGUAAUCAAGAAAGGUGGCCUCUCUUUGAUGAUACCGUGCUGAGAUGAGCUUGCGUACCAUUAGCUAGUUGGUGGGGUAAUGGCCUGCCAAGGCGACGAUGGUUAGCGGGUCUGAGAGGAUGAUCCGCCACACUGGAACUGGAACACGGACCAGACUCCUACGGGAGGCAGCAGUGAGGAAUAUUGCGCAAUGGGGGCAACCCUGACGCAGCGACGCCGCGUGGAUGAUGAAGGCCUUCGGGUCGUAAAAUCCUGUCAGGUGGAAAGAAAUGUAUAUGUGCUAAUACCAUGUAUACUUGACGGUACCACCGAAGGAAGCACCGGCUAACUCCGUGCCAGCAGCCGCAGUAACAC
rnacentral:rRNA from 1 species